UACGAAGGGGGCUAGCGUUGUUCGGAAUUACUGGGCGUAAAGCGCACGUAGGCGGAUCGAUCAGUCAGGGGUGAAAUCCCAGAGCUCAACUCUGGAACUGCCUUUGAUACUGUCGAUCUAGAGUAUGGAAGAGGUGAGUGGAAUUCCGAGUGUAGAGGUGAAAUUCGUAGAUAUUCGGAGGAACACCGGUGGCGAAGGCGGCCCGCUGGGCAGUUGCUGACACUGAGGCGCGACAGCGUGGGGAGCAAACAGG
rnacentral:rRNA from 1 species